rnacentral:rRNA from 1 species
AUUACCGCGGCUGCUGGCACGUAGUUAGCCGGUGCUUAUUCUUACGGUACCGUCAUGACCCGGGGAUAUUAGCCCCAGGCUUUUCGUUCCGUACAAAAGCAGUUUACAACCCGAGGGCCUUCAUCCUGCACGCGGCAUUGCUGGAUCAGGCUUUCGCCCAUUGUCCAAAAUUCCCCACUGCUGCCUCCCGUAGGAGU